GACGAACCGUGCGAACGUUGUUCGGAAUCACUGGGCUUAAAGGGCGCGUAGGCGGCCAGGCAAGUGGAAGGUGAAAUCCCUCGGCUUAACCGAGGAACUGCCCUCCAAACUGCUUGGCUUGAGACCGGGAGAGGUGAGUGGAAUUCCCAGUGUAGCGGUGAAAUGCGUAGAUAUUGGGAGGAACACCAGUGGCGAAGGCGGCUCACUGGACCGGUACUGACGCUGAUGCGCGAAAGCGUGGGGAGCAAACGGG
rnacentral:rRNA from 1 species